GAGGGUAUAGCUCAGUGGUAGAGCAUGUGCUUGGCAUGCACGAGGUCCUGGGUUCAAUCCCUAGUACUUCCA
rnacentral:tRNA from 1 species